AGUAAAAGAAAGAAAAUUAAAAAAUUAGAAAGAAAUAAAAGAAAAAUAAGAAAGGGGAAAAAAGAAGAGGGGAAAAGAGAAAAAAAAUAGCGAAUUAACGGGAGGAAGGUAAUUCUAAAAGGGGGAGAUAAUUAUAGGAAAAGGAACGGGGUGAAACCGCCCUAUAGUCUCGACUAUUAACGAUCGAUGACUCUAUUAUAAAACGAUAUUACCGGUUACGUCUAUCAGUUUAAAUCGUGUUGGAAACUGUCAGAGGACUGUUGGAAAAUAUUGAAAACCAAAGAUGAAGUGAAUAUCGCUCAGGCGUAUAGUCUUCAGAGUAGGCAAUACACUUUCUUUUUUUUCGAUAUACAAUUACGAUGGCAUUCAAGGAUAAGGACAAGAGAGAUAUGAACGAGAAAUUGAUUCGUGGCAUAAAGAUUCACAAGAUGGUCCUACGGUUAGUAUUUGAUUGUAUUUAGAAAAAGAGAAAAAUAGAAAAAAAAAAAAAGAAAAGAAAAGAAAAGAAAAGAAAAGAAAAGACAAUUUUCAUUUGACAUAUAAACGAAAUAAAAUAUCGUUGAUUACAAAGAUAUUUAAAUGGUAUAAAUCGCCAUUGGGAGUUCACGUUUCUAAUUCAGUGUGGAUUGGCAGUAUUGAUCAUAACCAUCGAUUUUUUACACAUACUUCAUUUGCAAGAGUUCUCUAAGGAAACAUUUUUAAACACUUGCGUAGAAAUAACUUACAUUAUCACCUCUAUGUUAUAUAUUUUUAUUAUCUUUUACGUCGGUCAAAAAGUUAAGAACGGAAGUAUGAAAUUUUACAUAACCAUCUGUUCGUUACCAUGGUACGAUUUGCCAAUAAAAUUGCAAAAGUUAUUUUUAUUUUUAAUAUUAAAAAGUAAAGAGGAGUCUUAUAUAUCCGUUGGUAAAUCUUACAAGAUGUCUUACGAGUUUUACGGUAAGAUAGUUCGAAUGGCAAUGUCAUAUACUAUGAUGAUCCGAUCUUUGCAAUGACUUUUUUCUGUUUUUUUUUUUUUUCUUUUUUUUCUUUUUGCAAGAUAUUAUGGAAUACUCCUUUCACAUUAAUUAAUUAGAUAGGGAGAGAGAGAGAGAGAGAGAGAGAGAGAGAGAGAGAGACAGAGAGAGACAGAGUAAGGCAAUAAUAAAUUUCUUGAUUAAUUUGAA